UUGUGAUAUGCUCUGGUUGAUAGUAGUUAGUGUCCGUGUUUUGACUUGUUGCUAAACCCUUGAGAGCAUCUCGUAAUGUUUAACUCUUAUGAAUUGUUCGAGAUGACCUUUUUUGUCUUGAUGAAUUGUGGCAUGACAACCCAAGAGUACUAGGGUCUAGAGGUAUCCCUAGAAACUUAGGAGCAAGUGGAGAAAGACGUAGCAGGACCAGAGCAGAGGACAUUUGGCACCUUUGAAACACCAUAAAUCAUCUCGUAAAAAAUAUUCAACUUUUAAAAUGUGUACUAUGUAAGUGUUGUUCUUCUGAGUGAUGGAAUUGCAUAUUGUAAAUCAAUCUCCACUUGUACAAAGGAUGAGCAAAUCUUUUGCUUAUUCUUGUCUACUUUUUUUUUUUUGGUCAAAAUGAAUAGGAAUAGCAGGUUCCUUUAAAGUGCAAGUAUAAUGGAAAGAGUUGGUAAAUUUUAAUAUACUUCUGAAAGAAUCAUCAUCCUUGUGUCAUUAUCUUUUUCAUGUAUUGAACAACAGAUUUGCACAUGUAUUUUUACCAUCUUUAACAGCUCUUUAUUAACGGAUAGUAUAUGGUUUUGCUUUUAUGUAGGGGGAUGUUGAGUUGUAAGAAGACCAGAUGCAUCUGCUCUGAUUUUAGAGGCAUGUAUAACCUGUCAAAGAGCAGCAAAAGAAAUGCAUCAUAGCUGUGUGAUACAUAACUUUGCCAGGAGAGAUCUCUCUAUUUAAGCACACAGACUGCUAUGGCAUUGUUAACCAUUUGCUCAGUUGCUCUUAAAUGCAUUUCUGCUGGCAGAAGAUGGUAGCAUGGUGGAGGUUCUGUUGUUAAACCCGGUAUCAGGACUUGAUCAAGCAAUUUGGUAUGUUCGGUGAAAAUUCAUGCACAUUUGAGCGAUCGUACAGUACUCCGAAGUUGGUGUUUUCUAUCCUCCGGUAAUUGUGGAUCACUGGUAUAAUGAGGAAAUCAACCUAACGUAUAAUUGCCAUGGUCUAUAUUUGUGUGUAUGUGGAGACUGGUGUGUGUACUAAUUUUCUGGAAUGUCAUUUAGUCAGAAGAGUUGUUUAGAAGAGGCAUAGGCAAAUUCUCUUGUAAGGCUUUUGUAGUUCCUUGAGAGUUUAACAUGGUUAUAACAUUAGUGCGCCGGCCGUCCUCGGCCAGGAUCUGGUCGGCAUAGCUUGUGGUUGUUGGGCACUUGGGGUUUGGGGUUUGAAAGACAGUGUCGUUGAUGUGCUUUGAGUUCCUGCUUAAUUGAGUUAUGCUGACUUUGUUAGUAUCCACAUCUUCAGAUACUAUUCCCAUAAUCCCUAAAAAACCAGCAGUUGCGUUGCGUGGUAGCUAGGUUAUGUAAAGCGCAUUCCUGUGAUGAAAAAUAGACCCUGGGAUGUAUCAAGCGAUCCACACACUAGCUAUGUCCCCCAAUAGGGACAAUUAAUAGAAAAAGGUGGAAAGAUGGUGAUAGGGAAAGACGACAAAAUGGAAGUAUUAACCAAAAGAUCAAAGAAGUAUUAGCCAAAAGAUCAAGACGGGGAUAGAGAAAUGUGGAACAUAUUAGCCACCAAUCGCAGUCCACAUUUCGACGACGAGAGACCUGGCUGCCCUUCUACCACCAGUUCACAUUCCCCCAAAGCAUUUCCAGGUCUUUUACCUCCUCUGCUUUUGGAAUCUUUGGAAUCACAGGCAUGGAGUGGUUUUAAGAAAUGAAGCUCUGUCUCUUCAUAGAUUGUUGACGAAUUGCAUUAAAAAUGUGACUCUUUGGGCGGAACGUAUUAAGCUCGAUGAUAGAGUUGUAAUUUCUUCCUAGAAAGAUCUUUUCUCCUCCUCACUCAGAACUCUAAACAUGUACUCCCUCCGUCCCAUAAAAAACAAAUCAGUACUGAUAUAUUCUAGUACGAUGAAUCUACAUAUGUAUGUCCAGAUUCGUAAUAGUACUAGGUUGGUUUUUAUGGGAUGGAGAGAGUAAUAAUGAUCUAAGAGUUUUACUCCCGUCGGCGUCCGGCAGCCUGUACCAGACGGUACUAGUACCGGGAGGUACAAGAUCAAAUCUGGCCGUCCAUCUUGAAAUGAUACGAUUGGGAAACAGAAAAGAGAAGCGGAACGAUUCCAGAGUCACGCCGCCGCUUUCCUCCCUAGCUGCGCUCUUUCUUUCCUCCCUCCCCGCAUCGCUUCUUUCUCAUCUAUUCCUCCCUCCGAGCGCAGAAACGGAGCAGUUGCGCCGCAUCCACGCCCCGCUGGACGAUUUUUUCCCAUCCAUCUACCGUCCGCGCCGCGGUGCUGGAGAAACGGCGCGCUCGCCCCGCAUCCACGCCUCCGCCAGUGCCCAUUUUUUCCCCAUCCAUCUGCUGUCCGCGGCAGCGAAGCCACCGACGCGCUCCGUCACCAGCAACGCCGCCGCAUUCACGAGCGAAGGUGCCGUGGUAUUCUGUGUCCCCUAUCCCCCCCCCUCGACGGCUCAAGCAAGUACCUAACCUCCCCCGCUGCCAUCGGCGCAGCCUAGGCCCCCAUUACGGCUCAAACACUGCUCCACUAUAUGGUCUAGUUAUUUUGUAAUGAACAAUUCAAUCUGCCAUGUUUCUUGUAAUGAAUUUGUGAGAAAAGCACAAGCUUUUGCUGGAGACUUUAAUCUUUGAAUGGAAAAUUUUAAGCUCAUCUGUCGUCUGUUUUUUUUAUGCUGUUUACAGGGCAUGAUCUAUCGUUGAAUGGAGCUUUUGACAUAAUUUUUGUCUGCUGUGAACAGAGCAUGAUAUAUAUGUCGUAUUGAGAGCCAUUAAUAUUUUGUCUGCUGUUUUUGCUCGAUCUCCUGUAAAAUACAUGUCAUUCUGCGGAGUGAUCAGCAGCACAACAAUGGUUACAAACAAGUGUUUUCAAUGAACAGCAAUCCAGCUAGAGAUCUAAAAGUUGAGGAAUCACUGGAGUAAAGUGCUAGACACAUGGGCAAUAAUUGCUGAAAAAAAGUAUAAUUUACAUGAUUCUGAAAGACUGAAACAAACAUACUCGUACUAGUGAGCUGUAAUUCAGAGUUUCAGACAGUGGGAGUGUUAAAUAUGUGACAAUAUAUUCGGAUUAGUUUCCCAGUAGGAGUUUCUAUCAGGUGUAUUUAUUUUAUCCCCCUAUAUAUACUCUUGUAAGCCGUACAGGAAGGGGUGACGUUCACAUUGUGAUUCCCCUACGUUUGUAAUCAUCUCCUCUGUAGUGAUCAUUGCCGGUCGGCAUCCAUGGUUUUUUCCCGCAAGGGUUUUCCACGUAAAAUUCGUGUCUCCGUUGUGCAUAUAUUUUCAUAACAAGUGGUAUCAUAGCAUUGGACAUCAAUCUACUAAUCACGCGGCCACCGGUGUUUUUGGGAUCGGAGAAUCAAUCUGAUCAGCGGCGGCGGCGGCGCUCGUCGUUCGUUGGUGUCGUCGAGUUGCCGACUUGCCGUCCUCCUGACCGCCCUGCGCAUCCACGCAGGAGCAGCAGCAGUGCCGCGUGGAAGCCGCGCGGGAGAAGCAGAAAAGCAGGAGGAGCAACAGCGUCCAAUCCAUCCAACCAGCGCACAGUUCCCGAGAAAACAAAAAUAAUCUACCGAGAGAUUUCUGAUCCGGUUGAUUUUUUCAAAGUGGGAAUUGCUACGGCCACCUAAGCUUGUGUACCAGGAGAUACCCUGAUCUACGCUUCGUGCACACGGAAAGUGCACCAGAGGUUCGCGUUUUUGCUAGAUUUACCCUAAUUUCUUUCUAGCAAAUUCAGGAUUAAUUCCCAUAGCGAGUUUGAAGUAUGAUCUACCGCUCCUGGACCAACACACAAGAUUCUCACUUUGACAAGUGAAGAUGCGAGCCGUUCUUGCACAACAAGACCUCGAUGAUGCACUUUCUGGAUUUGACAAGAAGACACAGGAUUGGUCCAACGAUGAGAAGAAAAGGGAUCAUAAGGCUAUGUCAUAUAUUCAUCUUCAUCUAUCUAAUAAUAUUUUGCAGGAGAUGCUUAAGGAGGAGAUAGCCGCUAGGCUGUGGUUGAAGCUGGAACAGAUAUGCAUGACUAAGGAUCUGACCAGUAAGAUGCACCUGAAGCAAAAGUUAUUUUUGCACAAGUUGCAAGAUGAUGGGUCUGUAAUGGACCAUCUCUCCACUUUUAAGGAAAUUGUUGCUGACCUUGAGUCUAUGGAGGUAAAGUAUAAUGAAGAGAAUUUAGGCCUUAUUUUAUUGUGUUCAUUGCCUAGCUCAUAUGCAAACUUCAAGGAUACUAUACUUUAUAGUCGUGAUACUCUAACUUUGAAAAAAGUUUAUGAUGCUUUGCAUGCCAAAGAAAAGAUGAAGAAGAUGGUACCCUCUGAAGGUUCAAAUUCGCAAGCAGAAGGCUUGGUUGUUCGGGGCAGGCAACAGGAGAAGAACACAAACAGCAAAUCAAGAGAUAAAAGUUCAAGUGGCUACCGUGGGAGAUCAAAGUCCAGAGGUAGGUAUAAGUCAUGCAAAUACUGCAAGAGAGAUGGACAUGAUAUCUCUGAAUGUUGGAAGCUACAGGACAAAGACAAAAGAACCGGAAAGUAUAUACCAAAAGGUAAGAAAGAAGAGGAAGGUAAAGCCGCAGUUGUUACUGAUGAGAAGUCUGAUGCAGAAUUGCUUGUUGCUUAUGUUGGUUGUGUACAAACUAGUGACCAGUGGAUUCUUGAUACUGCAUGCACCUAUCGCAUGCACCUAUCACAUGUGCCCGAAUAGGGAUUGGUUUGCCACCUAUGAAGCUGUCCAAGGUGGUACUGUUUUGAUGGGUGAUGAUACACCAUGCGAGGUUGCAGGUAUUGGAACAGUUCAGAUCAAGAUGUUUGAUGGCUGUAUUAGAACAUUGUCAGAUGUGCGGCAUAUUCCAAAUUUGAAGAGAAGUCUCAUCUCUUUAUGUACUCUUGAUCGCAAAGGGUACAAAUAUUCCGGUGGAGACGGAAUUUUGAAGGUAACCAAAGGCUCUCUCGUUGUGAUGAAAGCUGAUAUUAAAUCUGCCAACCUAUACCAUCUGCGAGGUACAACUAUAUUAGGUAAUGUUGUAGCAGUUUCUGAUUCAUUAUCUAAUUCCGAUGCUACUAAUCUUUAGCAUAUGCGUCUUGGGCAUAUGAGUGAAAUUGGUUUGGCAGAAUUGAGCAAGCGAGGAUUGCUAGAUGGACAAAGCAUCGGGAAGCUCAAAUUUUGUGAGCAUUGCAUCUUUGGCAAGCAUAAGAGGGUGAAGUUCAACACAUCUACACAUACUACUGAAGGUAUACUUGAUUAUGUGCAUUCUGAUUUAUGGGGGCCUGCUCGUAAGACAUCCUUUGAAGGUGCUCAUUACAUGAUGACUAUCGUUGAUGAUUAUUCACGAAAAGUUUGGCCUUAUUUCUUGAAGCACAAAUAUCAAGCUUUUGAUGUGUUUAAAAGAGUGGAAAACUAUGGUUGAAAGACAAACUGAAAGGAAGGUGAAAAUCCUUCGUACUGACAAUGGGAUGGAGUUCUGUUCUAAGAUAUUUAAAUCAUAUUGCAAGUCUGAAGGCAUUGUGCGUCACUACACCGUUCCUCACACACCUCAACAAAACGGCGUAGCUGAGCGUAUGAACAGGACAAUUAUAUCAAAGGCCCGUUGUAUGUUGUCUAAUGCAGGUUUGCCCAAACAGUUUUGGGCGGAAGCCGUUUCCACUACUUGUUAUCUUAUCAAUCGAUCACCCAGUUAUGCCAUUGAUAAGAAGACUCCAAUUGAGGUAUGGUCUGGUUCCCCAGCAAAUUAUUCAGACUUAAAAGUAUUUUGUUGUACUGCUUAUGCUCAUGUUGAUAAUGGUAAAUUGGAGCCUAGAGCUAUUAAGUGCAUUUUUCUUGGUUAUCCGUCUGGUGUGAAAGGCUAUAGGUUAUGGUGUCCUGAAACCAAAAAGGUUGUGAUUAGUAGAAAUGUUGUCUUCUAUGAAUCAGUUAUGUUACAUGACAAACAUUCUACUAAUGUUCCUGUUGAGAGUCAGGAGAAAGCAAAUGUGCAGGUGGAGCACUUGAUCAGUUCAGGGCAUGCACCAGAAAAAGAAAAUGUUGCUAUUAACCAAGAUGCACUUGUUAUUGAAGAUUCAGAUUCUUCUAUAGUUCAGCAGUCUCCAAAACGUUCUAUUGCAAAAGAUAAGCCUAAAAGAAAUACUAGACCUCCUCAAAGAUAUAUUGAAGAAGCGAACAUAGUUGCUUAUGCUUUGAGUGUGGCAGAAGAAAUUGAAGGUAAUUCAAACCUUCUACAUAUUCUGAGGCUAUUGUUUCUGACGAUUGCAAUAGAUGGAUAACUGCUAUGCAUGAUGAGAUGGAGUCACUUGAAAAGAAUCAUACUUGGGAAUUGGUGAAGUUGCCAAAGGAGAAGAAACCUAUCCGUUGCAAGUGGAUCUUCAAAAGAAAGGAAUGUAUAUCUCCAAGUGAUGAGGCAAGAUACAAAGUAAGGUUAGUUGUUAAAGGUUAUAGCCAGAUUUUAGGUAUUGAUUUCAAUGAUGUCUUUUCCCCUGUUGUGAAGCAUAGUUCAAUUCGCACCGUACUCAGUAUUGUUGCAAUGCAUGAUUAUGAACUAAAGCAAAUGGAUGUUAAGACUGCAUUUUUACAUGGGGAGUUAGAAGAGGACAUUUAUAUGGAGCAACCUGAAGGUUUUGCUGUUCCUGGAAAAGAGAACCUAGUUUGUAGGUUGAAGAAAUCUCUUUAUGGGUUGAAGCAGUCACCUAGACAGUGGUAUAAGAGAUUUGACUCUUUCAUGCUUUCUCAGAAGUUUAGAAGAUCCAAUUAUGAUAGUUGUGUUUAUCUCAAAGUUGUUGAUGGUUCAGCUAUAUAUUUGCUUCUUUAUGUCGAUGAUAUGUUGAUUGCUGCAAAAGACAAAUCAGAGAUAGCAAAGUUGAAGGCACAAUUGAGUAGUGAAUUUGAGAUGAAGGAUUUGGGUGCAGCGAAGAAAAUUCUCGGUAUGGAAAUUACUAGAGAAAGACAUUCUGGCAAUUUAUAUCUUAGUCAGAAAGGUUAUAUUGAAAAAGUUCUUCGUCGUUUCAAUAUGCAUGAUGCAAAACCAGUGAGUAUUCCUUUAGCUGCACAUUUUAGAUUAUCUUCAGAUUUAUGUCCACAGUCAGAUUAUGAUAUUGAGUACAUGUCUAGAGUUCCUUAUUCAAGUGCAGUUGGUUCACUUAUGUAUGCCAUGGUAUGUUCUCGUCCUGACUUAUCACAUGCAUUGAGUGUUGUCAGUAGAUACAUGGCUAAUCCUGGCAAAGAGCAUUGGAAAGCUGUUCAAUGGAUUUUCAGAUACCUACGUGGUACAUCUAGUGCUUGUUUGCAGUUUGGGAGAUCUAGAGAUGGACUUGUUGGCUAUGUGGAUUCAGAUUUUGCUGGAGAUUUGGAUAGGAGAAGAUCGCUCACAGGUUAUGUUUUCACUAUUGGAGGAUGUGCUGUUAGUUGGAAGGCAAGUUUGCAAGCAACUGAUGCCUUAUCUACUACUGAAGCAGAGUAUAUGGCUAUUUCUGAAGCUUGUAAAGAAGCUAUUUAGCUUAGAGGUUUGUACACUGAGCUUUGUGGAGUUACGUCUUACAUUAAUAUAUUUUGUGAUAGUCAAAGUGCAAUAUGCCUUACAAAGGAUCAAAUGUUCCAUGAGAGAACAAAGCACAUUGAUGUGAGAUAUCACUUUAUUCGAGGUGUGAUUGCUGAAGAUGAUGUCAAGGUAUGCAAGAUAAGUACUCAUGAUAACCCAGCUGAUAUGAUGACAAAGACAAUUCCUGCUACUAAGUUUGAGUUUUGCUCAAGCUUGGUUGGUGUUACAGUAUAGUCCUAGAGACUAUUUGGCGCGCGGUGAUUUUACCUACAUGAGGUAUUUUUGGUGAUUGAUGUUUUUAUGCUACAAGAGGAAAUUCGUCUCAAGGUGGAGAUUGUUAAAUAUGUGAUCCAAAUUUUGGGCCCACAAUAUAUUCGGAUUAGUUUCAUAGUAGGAGUUUCUAUUAGGUCUUUCUUUUAUCCCCUAUAUAUACUCUUGUAAGCCGUACAGGAAGGGGUGACGUUCCCAUUGUGAUUCCCCUACGUUUGUAAUCAUCUCCUCUGUAGUAAUCAUUGCCGGUCGGCGUCCGUAGUUUUUUCCCGCAAGGGUUUUCCAUGUAAAAUUCGUGUCCGUUGUGCAUCUAUUUUCAUAACAGGGAGAUAGAUAAACAGAGUUCUGCAAAUUUUCAGCCAAACAGAACGAACUAGGACUUAGCAAGAAUCUAAAACUGAAGGAUAAGUUAGACAACCCAUCUCAAAAAGCUGUAAUUUAGAGUUUCAGACAAUGGGAGAUAGAUAAACAAAAUUCACAUGGAUUGGUUGCUGAGACAUCAACAUGCUGGGUGAUCCCCAUCCAUUAAUUCUGGUAAUUGACAUGUACAAAAUCAACAAUGGCAAGCAUAGUACAUAUUAUCAAAUAGCUUCAUGAGAAGGAACACAGCUACAACUACUAUUCCUAUGAACCAAUUUCUAAUGUCAUCAGUCUCUUUUUUCUGCUUGGACAACUUCUUGAAUGAAUUUUCCAUGUCUGAAAGCCGGUCAGCCAUUUCCAGCUCUAGCUUCAUUUUCUCUCUUCUGCCUUCGUUUUCUCAACAUAACAGUUGAGUGCUUGAGCUGUGGGCAGUGCUACAGAAUAACCAGAGGUUGAAGAAGGAUGCCCGCCACGAACCACCUGCUGCCGACGCCAUCGCCGCCGCCACCUCGCGGACACGGGCCCAAGCACCGGACACCGCCGCCAACACCACCUCACCACCGCAGCCCGCGGACCAGCCACCACCUCCUCGCCGCCUCCCAUGGACCACCUACUCGCCGCCUCCCACGAAUCAGCUGUCGCCACCGCCCACUUCGCCGCCGCCGCCUACGGAUCAGCCGCCGCCACCUCCCAAGGACCACCUCGCCGCUGUCCUCCGAGCGUUGCUCCCGUCCAGCACCGCCGCCACCUCUCACGGAUCAGAGCUGAAUCGAGAUGGAUUGUAAAAACCCUAGUUUCACCACUCAAAACGCAUCCCUACGUGAAAAGACAACAUUACCCUUCCACCCCUCUAACUAUUCUGGUACCACCUCAUGGGCAAAUAUGUACUGAGUUACCGCAUAAUUUCCACCGUCCGAUCGAGCUGAAUGAAUGGCUGAGAUUUGGAACUGGGCUAGUACCGUGGUACCUGCUGGAUGGGAGCAAUCCUCACGAUCUAAACCCUUUGGACUCUCCCUUUUCAAAUGAAUACAGGUGGGGAAACUCCCCCUCCCGGGUGAAUUAUUAUUUUUUAAAAAAAAAACCAAUCGCAGUCCAGUGUGGUUUUUCCUUUUUUGACAUUGCAGCCCAGUGUGGUUAGGGAUGAAAACGGAGCGGAUACGGACGGAUAAUGCUCAUACCAUAUUCGUUUUCAUAUUUUUUGCUGGAUAUGGAAAUGAAUACGGAUAGCUCGAAUACGGAAACAAAUACGGAUUAUCUCGAAUACAAAUAAGUAUCGAAUAUGAUCGGACACGAAUACGAAAACAAUUUUUUUUCGGAACACGAAAACCAACUUAACUUCUAAUAUAAAAAAAUAUCAACAUAUAUAGUUAGCUCAUUUUAUAUAAAAUAUAGUAUAAUUUAUAAAUAUUUUUUAAAAUUUAAAUAAUAUUAAUAGUGUGGACUAGAUUUAAGAGAUGAACUACUAUUAAAAUGUAAAAAGGUAUAUUGAAGGUCAUAAAGUUAUAAAGAAAUGAGGUAUGUCUCAUGGCUUCUGCGGAUAUCUGAAUAGCACUGUUCACCGGACAUCCGAAUUAUUAUCCGUAUCCGACGGAAACCCCGAUACCAUAUUUGUAUUCGCAUCCGGAAGAAAAUAUCCGUAUUCGUAUCCGUAUCCGAACUAUCCGAGAAAUAUCCGAUCCGAGAGGUAUCCGUUUUCGUUUUCCUCCGGAGCGGACAGAAACUAUCUGCUCCGUUUUCAACCCUAAGUGUGGUUCAUCCAAAGGACCGGAGAAAGUGGGUUAUGCUGCCUAAUUUAGUUCUGCUGACUCUAUCAGUAUCCACAUCUUCAGAUACCAUUCCCAUAAUCCCUAAAAUCCCAGCAGUUGCGUUGCAUGGUAGGCUAUGUAAAGCGCAUUCCUGUGAUGAAAAAUUGACCCUGGGAUGUAUCAAGCGAUCCACACACUAGCUAAGGUCCCUCAAUAGGGACAAUUAAUAGAAAAAGAUGGAAAGAUGGCGAUGGGAUGUAUCAAGCGAUCCACACGCUAGCUAGGUCCCUCAAUGGGGACAAUUAAUAGAAAAAGGUGGAAAGAUGGCGAUAGGGAAAGACAACAAAAUGAUAAAAGGAAGUACUCCCUCAUUCUCUAAAUGUUAGACACCGUUGACUUUUUUAAACAUGUUUGACCAUUCGUUUUAUUCAAAAACUUUUGUGAAAUGUGUAAAACUAUAUGUAUACAUAAAAGUAUAUUUAACAAUAAAUCAAAUGAUAGAAAAAGAAUUAAUAAUUACUUAAAUUUUUUGAAUAAAACGAACGGUCAAACAUUUUUAAAAAAGUCAACGGCGUCAAAUAUUUUGGGAUAGAGGGAGUAUUAGCCAAAAGAUCAAGACGGGGAUAGAGAAAUGUGGAACAUAUUAGUCACCAAUCGUAGUCCAGUGCGGUUUUUUUUUUGAGGAAAUGUGAAAAUUCAUCACACGCUGUUAUAAAAGAUAUCCUUUUUUCGAGGAAAGUCUCCCAGUCAAUAUGGUGCUCCUAUCGCUAUCAAUUUCUAUGGUACUAACCACGAUCUCCUAUGUAAAAACCAUCUGAAACGUCCGGAAGUCUGUACCAUCUGAAUGACAUCAUUCCCAGAUAGAAACAAACCGAUGACAUCAUUCCCAGAUAGAAACAAACCGCUCGUAGGGAUAGAAGAUGAAAUGAAGAUAAAUAUUAAGUGUUUCACAUAAAAUAAGGUGUUGAUAACGUAUGAUUAAUUGUGUUUUAAUUAUUACAAACUUAAAAAAUUGAUUAAUUUAAUAUUUUAGAACAACCUUCAUAUAUAAAGUUUUCGUACGAAACGUACCGUUCAACAGUUUAAAAAACGUGCCACGAGUAUCUAAAUUUUUAUCCGGUUCUUACAUAAGAAACGAGCGAGACCAUUCGACAGUCAAAAGAUAUGAGACUGAGAAAACGACAGGGGACAGAAUGCCACAUGCCCGUCAUCUCUCCUCACCUCCCCUCCGCUAUAUAAACCAGGGCAAAACUGAAGGCACGCAGGCACAACACUCCUCUCUAGCUUGAUCUUUCUAGCAUCUCUGCUAAUUGCCAAGCUCCAACCUUCUCAAUUUCCUAGAUUUAUUUGAUUCUGAAUAAUAGGAAGAUCCAUACAUCACAGGUGAUGGCUGACAUUGCUCGCCGGGAAGCGGAGGUCGACGGCGCUGCUUCUUCCAAGAUCGCGGCGGCGCUGGGGCUGUUCGGCGUCGCCACGGUCUCUCUGAUCAUCAACCUGGCCGCCGCGUGCGACCCACCGCCGGCCUACGGUGGUAACACCUACUACCACCUCGCUCUUGUGGGUUCCUUCCUCGCCGGAAUGGGCCAGGUUGGCGCGGCCAUCUGGGUCUCCGACGACCCACGCGGUCGCCGUGCCGCCGUCGGCAAGAAGAUCAUGAUCGCCUCCAUCGCGCCGCUCGUCGUCGCCGUCGGCCUCACCGGAGCGGCUCUGCUCUGGUAAUUACACCUAGGUUCGUUCAACUACACCGACAUCGCCGCCUCCCGCGCCAGCUUCUCCCUAGAUCGGCGCGAAUGUAUCUAUAUCGAUCUUACUUGUUUCAGUUGUGUAAUGCUCCUUUCUUGCUGUUUGGGUCACUGAUCGAGCUUUUGUGUAUCACCUCGCCUAUAUAUCUACAAUAAAUCGAUCACUUCGUUUCCUCCACCGCUUGCUGCUGUGCUAGCUGUUGUGUUAGUUGAUCAAUGCUUGGACCGAUGGAACAUGUGAUGAUGCAAGUUUUAAGUCCAUAUAGAAAAGGCAAAUCAACUAAUUGUAGAAAUUAUCUAAUUUAGGGAGUAUUUGGAAUUUUGGAGCACUCGUGAUCACCAAUCCAACGUCCACUUCCUCGCCGCUGCCGGCGGGGUGUCUACCGCUCCGGCGACGGUGUGGCGUCCGUACGUCCACGCCGCACGCCGCACCGUACGGCCGGCCCGCCUCCUUGUUCUCCCUUGGGAAGAUAGCCGCUGUCAAAAGGGUUCUUUUAGUGAAUUUUGUAUCUAUGUUUAAUCAAGAUUCUGAUUGAAUUACUACUAUAAUGUUUGGUUGUAUGAGUGGACCCCACACAUGCCACGUAGGAUAGGAGUAGGAGUAAUAUUAGUGGAGGAGGAGAGGGUAAGGGUCGCGGAUUUGCGGCUGCGGCGGCCGAGGGCCACGGCCAUGGCGCCGGCGACUUCGCCUUCGCCCUGCCCACCCACUCCAAGUAUCUCUGUCUCGCAGCUUCUGCGCCCUAACUCAUCCGCUUGCCUCUCAAUUCGCGCGUGAAGCGGUGAAUUGAAACGGCGCGCCAAAAUUUUCUCGGUCACAACCUGAUCACCGUCGCCGGAAUCCGUCCUCCGCUGCCAUCUUCCCCUCGCCGCCAACCUGCGCCGGCGAGCCGUUUGCCCGUAGCCGUCGCGGCUGUGGGUGGUAUUGCAACAGAUUUGUGGAAGCUUUUGUUUUUCAUGAUCCAUAUGGGAUUGCGGUCGUGUUGUCUCUCUAUCAACUUGCACGAAGAUCAGCGCCGUCAGCUUCGCAGUCGGUGUCGUGGUGGGCUUCACACUGAAGAGAAGACUACGCCGGUGGGCCGCUAGGCUGCUGAAAAGAAUCAAGGACGAUGACUAGUGAAAUCUUUUCGUACCAUGUUCUUCCUAACUUAUGUUCAGAACUAUGUUUUGUUGUGCAUCACCCGCAGUUUGGAUCCCUCUUUACAAUUCGAUAAAAUUGCAAGGAACACAAACUUAUGGUUUCUAAGCUGUAUUACACAUUUCUUAAGGUCCGUAAGCCUUAGAAUUGCUACUCGGAAUGUUGUUUUUUCUGAUUGGUGAUUUACAAAAUCUAUUUCUCCCCCUAUUGAUCGAGUACUCGGAUUAGCGACAGUUGUCUCAAGUGAGUGUACUUUUUCACGCCUACCGUUCAGCCUCUGCAUCGCCAUAUUACCGAUUUACUGGCAUAUAAAUAAGCCUUAGUCCGCCCCUUUUUUUUUUUUGAGGGAACGGGUAGGGAGAAGAGAGUUAUCUAGUUUAUAGGAAAAGUCAGACCUAAAAUCUUAUUAAUUAUGGAAAACUGGUCAAAACCAUACACUAAAUCUAAAAAUAGCAAUCUAACAAGAGAAAUCUCUUAAAACCAAGCCUUUGAGAAGGACACAAGUCAACGGAACGAUAACAUCGUCCGAAUAUAGGUUGAUUUGAGAAGAAAACCGUUAAUGCUUCAACUCGGACGUCCGGACGGAAGGAGAAAAAUUGGACGGGCUGACUCUGACACAUCCUUUCAAGCCUACACACAUGUACCUUUAACGAUAUUUAAAACAUUUUUUUUCUCGUAAAUUACUAAUCCAAUCUACAAUCCGAUCACACUGUUGUAUUUGUUGUAAUUAAAUCUUUACAACAAGAUGUCGCAUGAUUAUAUUCUGAUUAAAAAUAAUCAUAUGUUUCAAUCCAUUAACACUCUUUGUUUCAUACGCGAUAGUGAUAGAUAUGUUUCAAUAUGUCUCUUAUGCAUGUUUCACAAAUUUCAUGAAACUAUAUCUCACUACUCUCUCUCCACCUCAAACAUGCAUGCAUGUAUGCAUUUUAGCGAGCUUCAAAAUAAUUUUUCUCAUAAACUAAUUAUCCAAUCUAUGAUUCGGUCACACCGUUGUAUUCGUUGUAAUUAAAUCUUUACAACAAGAUAUCACAUGAUUAUAUUUUGAUGAAAGAAAAACAUAUGUUUCAAUCCGUUAACACUAUUGUUUCAUAUGUGAUAGCGAUAUGUUUCAACGUAUAUCUUCAUCAUGUUUCAUAAAAUUUUUAAAUGUUUCAGUUGCUGAUUUUUUGUUUCACCAUAUAUAAUUUGAUGUUUCACUCAAUGGUCAACUAGAACAUUUGACCAACCAAUUUUCUUUAGGACAUGGGACGUCAGAUGAGAAGAUUCUUCAUGAUUGAGGAGUGAAGAAUAAAGUGCGGCAACAUGCACAUGCACAUACGCUCGGUGUUUGGCUGGGCGUCCGAUAUUUGGUGAGAUAUCGAACGUCCGAGCCGUAGUGCUAUCCGAAGAAAGCUCUUAAAACCAAGCCUUUAGCGUUGAGUUUUAGGUUGUUACAAAUAAAUAUAUACUACCUCUGUCCCAAUAUAAGCGUAAUUGUUGGUUUCCGUGUCCAAUAUUUGACCGUCUAUCUUAUUUAAAAAAAUUGGUCACAUAUAAAAUAUUAUACAUGUUUUAUCAUCUAAUAACAAUAAAAAUACUAAUCAUCAAUAUUUUUCAAAUAAAACGGAUGGUCAAACAUUGGACACGGUAACUGACAGCUAUACAUAUUUUAGAAUAAAGGCAGUAAAAAUUUUACCUAUAAAUUAAUUUUUAUUCUUUAGUAAACUGUUUUGUCUUAUUUGCCUAGGCAUCACCUCUAGAAUGAAGCUUCAUUGAUUUCUGGGUUGAAUUUGCUCCAACUGACACAAAAGCCGGUGAAAUGCCCCCCGCAAAAAAAAAAAAAAAAGCCGGUGAAAUGGCGUCCCCAACGUGUAGCCGACGGCCCGACGCCCGACGGGAAAUAAUCGGGUUGAAGCAAACUGGAGAAGGAAGAGCGGGUUGGCACGAAGCUUCGUUGAUAAAGACGUCGUCAAUACUACUACCAGCAAUUUCCUUCCACUAGCGGACGAUUAGGGCCUCUGGCCUCUGGUCUCUGGUCCCGCUGUGUCAGUGGGAGUAGAUUUGGCGCCGCGAUGCCAUGUGCUCAAUGUGAUUUCUUUCUCACUUUUUUUUUUGUUCUGUUCGAGGAGAUCCAGUACCAUGCCGUAUUUUUUUGUUACAACACGUCCCGCGACCAGGUAGAUGAGUUAGGACCACUUUUGUUGUUAUUACAGUAUGUGCUAUGACCAUUUUAGAUGAGUUAGGACCACUUUAUGUUCUAGGAGGUCCGGGGUCCAGUACCAUGCCGUCCAUAUAUAGCGCAUUUGAGUUGCACAUCUCCAGCAACCAACUCCCUCCCAACCGAUCGAUCUCUCUCUUCUACUUCAUCCAGGUCCAAGGAGCGGCUCAAUCAGUCGAGAGAUUAAAUGGCGGCACAGUAUGAGGUGAGUGACGCAUUAGGCGCGCUCGGCGUCGCCGCCAUCUCCACGGCCACCACUUUGGCCACCGCAGCGUUCCAGCCGCCGCCGGCGCCGGGCGGCCUCCGCACCACCACCACCUACAACCACCUCGCCGUCGCCGGGCUCGCAGGGACCUUCCUUGGCGGGGUGGUCCUGGUCGGCGCUUCAGUCUGGGUGUCCGACAACCCAGCUGCCCGCCGUGGCACCGGCAAGAAGCUCCUCUACGCCGCCGUCCCGAUGCUCCUCGCCGCGGUCGUUCUAUCGGUGGCGGCGCUGCUCUGGUAAGCCUCUCAAAUUAACGCUCAUGUACAAGCCCCUGUCCGACCGCAUUACUAUCCGCCAUGAUCGGAGCCAAGCCGGCCGUCCCUAGCGUUCUCCUUAUGUCAAUCAAAUGUAACCUUAAUUCUUCAUAUUGUUUGUUUUAUUGGUCGAUCGCUGCGUCGUGGUUGUGUCUCGUGGAGCUGUAGUAUCAUCAUGUAAUAGUGUUUGCUUCUUAUUCUAGUCCAUUGUGUGUAUCACCUAUGUAUGAUCACGUCUCCUUCUGUUCUUGGUCUGUCAAAGUGUUAUUCGAUUGAUGGCCGGCUUAAUCGACGAGUGUUUUGUUAAUUAUGAGUUCAUAUAAUCUCGGCGUGGAAAUCUCGGCGUGGGCUGAGAGACUUAAGUUAGAUGACAGACAUGUAAUCUCGGCGUGGAAAUCUCUCUUCUCCUUUUCUAUCCGCUCCCUCGAUAUAUAAUUGGACUCUCUGUACUUUCUUUGCUAUUAAUGGAUUCAGGUGGGGAAGCUCUCCCCCCCGGGUGAAUUUUCAAAAAAAUUAUGAGUUCAUAUCUCCCAAUUUGAAGUAUGGUGAUUCAAAGGGGAGCUAUGCAGUACUAGUUUUUGGCUUAAUUACAUUUAGGGAAGAGUGGAUUUGGAGUACUCCAUGCAUAUCGGCGCCGCUCGCCGUCGCCGCCGACGCUGAAUAGUUCUGGAAGUUUGCCUUGUCGGCCGUCGUGUCCUUCUGGUGCUAAAAGCCCAUCUUUUUCUCCUUUUUUUUUUCUUUUCCUUUUUUUUUGGGGGGCAACUGUUAGAAGAGAGGGAAGGGUGGGCCAUAUUAAGUGGGGCCCACAUGCCGUAUCAUAUCCAUGACCUUUGUCCUUGCGUUGCCGGCGGCGGCGGCGGCGGCGGCUACGGUGGCCAUGGAGAUCUCACGCGACCAUUUGCCGGUGAGGUCGGCUGCUCCGCCUCCGCCUCCGCAUCUACGCCUGAUUGAUCCCCACCCCUAUCUCCACUGACUGUGCUAUCGCGUUUCCGGCGGUGGUUGAUCGAGGCGGUAGCCCGUGCGGCGCGCGAGAUUCCGCCCGUCCACGGAUUUCCGGUCGCCAUCGCCGGGGUUCGUCUUCUCCGGCCAGCCCCUCGCCGCGCGAACCUGCGCCGGCCGACCUCGGCCAGGAUCUGGUCGGGAUCGCUUGUGGUAGGUGUUGGGGGGCACUUGGGUUUGGAGGACAGCAUCGUUGAUGUGCUUUGACUUUGAGUUCCUUGCUAAUUUAGUUAUGCUGAUUGUUCCCAUAAUCCCUAAAAUCUCAGCAGUUGCGUUGCGUGGUAGGUUAUGUAAAGCGCAUUCCUGUGAUGAAAAAUAGACCCUGGGAGACAUAUUAUCAAUUGUAUCAAGCGAUCCAACACACUAGGUCCCCAAAUAUUGUCGUAGAUACCAUUUUCUCUUCAGUAUGCUGCUUAAAAUGCAAAUUGUAAGCUUUUCUCUGUGCUGUCCAGUUACGUCUAGUAAUUCCUUAUGUUUAAAGACUGAUAUUGGUCUUUGGUUGUGUGUGAUGUGCUUCUUGUUAAUCGCAAUACUUGAUCUUUACUAUCGGUGCAUAUUUAGUCCCAAUAUGCCCUUUUAGUUAAGUUGCUGAAACAUUGAGCAUCUUGUCAUGUUGAUCUUCUUGUGAGUGGUUCAAGAUGAUUUGUUCUGUUUUAAUGGAAGUAAAAAACGAGGGCUGUCCCCUCCUAAUGGGAAGAGAAAAAGAGAUGUAUUCCAGCAACCAUGUGUUAUAGUACAAUCCAAUUAGUUCGCUAAGCUAUUAUGGCCUUUAUAUCCUGCUCUGAGUAUUUAUUUGAUUUGCUGUAAAGUUAUUAAAUUUAUGGCAUUGUUAUACGUGAUUUGUACUUGAUUAUAUGCUGCUAUUGGUGAUUCAUGUAAUUAGAGCUGAAUGGGAUUUUUGCUAGAUACACAUUGCUUCUUUCAACAACCCUUAUGCGAACAAAAUUAAUGGGCUGGUUUCUCUUCUGUGCUGAUUUCCAUUGUUCCAUAGCUGAAGCUUAAGUAAUUGCAAAAUUUGUAGGAACUCAUCUGUUCUUUUGCUGAACCAAUAGACUUUUGUAAAUACAUUUGCACAAGACAUUGAGGUCAACUAAAAUUCUUCUAUGCCCAAUGGUGCAGCCAUAUUUCAUACAUGAAUAUGGCUAUCGCUUUGCCUGAUAGGUUAUGGACUGUGAACUCUGUGUUUAUUUUGAUGUGAAAAUGGCCUCAGGGGAACGCAGGAUAACUCAUACAUGUCAAUCCAUACACUAGGUCCUGAGAUAUUUUCUUAAUGCCCUUUUCUCUUUUCACUAUACUCUACUUGUUAAACUUCUAAGAAAAGUCUUAUCCCUCUACUGUUCUAUUAUAUCUAUAAUUCCUUUGUUUUGAUGUCAAAAGCAGUGUAUUCAGCUGUAUAUUUUGUUGUGAUAUGCUCUGGUUGAUAGUAGUUAGUGUCCGUGUUUUGACUUGUUGCUGAACCCUUGAGAGCAUCUCGUAAUGUUUAACUCUUAUGAAUUGCUCGAGAUGACCUUUUUUGUCUUGAUGAAUAGUGGCAUGGCAACCCAAGGCAAGAGCACUAGGGCCUAGAGGUAUUCCUAGAAACUUAGGAGCAAACGGAGAAAGACGUAGCAGGACCAGAGC
rnacentral:lncRNA from 1 species